rnacentral:rRNA from 1 species
GCUGUCCGCCAGUGUAAAUAACUGGUGAAGAAAGGGCCGGGCAAGACCGGUGCCAGCCGCCGCGGUAAUACCGGCGGCUCGAGUGGUGGCCACUAUUACUGGGCUUAAAGCGUCCGUAGCUGGAUUGUUAAGUCUCUUGGGAAAUCCACCGGCUCAACCGAUGGGCGUUCAGGAGAAACUGGCAAUCUAGGGACCGGGAGAGGUGAGAGGUACUCCAGGGGUAGGAGUGAAAUCCUGUAAUCCUUGGGGGACCACCUGUGGCGAAGGCGUCUCACUAGAACGGCUCCGACAGUGAGGGACGAAAGCUGGGGGAGCAAACCGGAUUAGAUACCCGGGUAGUCCCAGCUGUAAACGAUGCGCGUUAGGUGUAUCGGUGACCACGAGUCAUCGAGGUGCCGAAGGGAAACCGUGAAACGU